rnacentral:rRNA from 1 species
GACGAACGCUGGCGGCGUGCUUAACACAUGCAAGUCGAACGGAAAGGCCCUGCUUUUGUGGGGUGCUCGAGUGGCGAACGGGUGAGUAACACGUGAGUAACCUGCCCUUGACUUUGGGAUAACUUCAGGAAACUGGGGCUAAUACCGGAUAGGAGCUCCUGCUGCAUGGUGGGGGUUGGAAAGUUUCGGCGGUUGGGGAUGGACUCGCGGCUUAUCAGCUUGUUGGUGGGGUAGUGGCUUACCAAGGCUUUGACGGGUAGCCGGCCUGAGAGGGUGACCGGCCACAUUGGGACUGAGAGACGGCCCAGACUCCUACGGGAGGCAGCAGUGGGGAAUAUUGCACAAUGGGCGGAAGCCUGAUGCAGCAACGCCGCGUGCGGGAUGACGGCCUUCGGGUUGUAAACCGCUUUCGCCUGUGACGAAGCGUGAGUGACGGUAAUGGGCAAAGAAGCACCGGCUAACUACGUG